GACGUAGGUGGCGAACGUUAUCCGGAAUUAUUGGGCGUAAAGGGCGCGUAGGCGGUCAGCACAAGUCAGUUGUGAAAUCUCCGGGCUUAACUCGGAAAGGUCAACUGAUACUGUGCGACUAGAGUGCAGAAGGGGCAACUGGAAUUCUCGGUGUAGCGGUGAAAUGCGUAGAUAUCGAGAGGAACACCUGCGGCGAAGGCGGGUUGCUGGGCUGACACUGACGCUGAUGCGCGAAAGCCAGGGGAGCGAACGGG
rnacentral:rRNA from 1 species